rnacentral:lncRNA from 1 species
GUCAAGGAUAUGCUUGACAGAUACUUCAAGGGAGAAGAUUUUCCUGUUCAAAAUUACAUAGUGAAGGCGGGGGAGCUGGCACCUCAAUAUCGAUAAUUUCACGUGUGAAGAGACUGAUCGUUUGAGUUUAUUCUCUGUUGAACAGGACCUUCUGGAAUAAUCCUAUGUUUGUACCUUCUGGAAUAAUGUUCCUAUGUUUGUAAACUCUACAUUUAACAAUGGAAUAAUAAACAGCUGGAAUGAGUAACUUCAUUUUGUGUUUUUUUGCUGGAAUGAGUAACUUCAUUUUGUGCAUUUAACAAUGGAAUAAUAAACAGCUGGAAUGAGUAACUUCAUUUUGUGUUUUUUUUUUUUUUUUUGGGUAGGCUUCAUUUUAUAGGUAUUGUCUUAAUUUCUUUAUGAUGCAUUUGUCAGAGUUAUAUUGCUCGACUAUCUUAUCGGCAGGGGUUUUGGUUGAGUGGCUUUCAUUAAACUUUAUUUAAUUAACCGCACCUGAGUUCGAACCCUGCAGAAGGAGGAACUUAAAAAAAUACUGAUUUGGUCAUUGUCUAUCCCUACCUUAAAC